CUAAAAAAUAUAUUCAAAGUUGAUUUGGAUUAGGUACAGAUAAUGAUAUGCCCUGUCCCAAAUCCGACAUGAUAUUGUUGAAGGAAAAUUUAAAUUUGAAAACUCAAAAUUUCUUAAAUGAGCUUCCCUCCAAAUGUGUUUUUGAUCCUUUUGAUUAUCUUGAUUGGGAUCUUUUAGUCCCACAUUGAGAGUGGAAAGAUCCUUUUAGUCCUUGAUAUGAGAAAAGGGUUUGUUAAGCCCUUAAGGGUAUUUGAGGAGAUUUAAAGGAAAAUCUUUAAUAUAUGUAUGUGAACUGAAUCGGACCGGAUCGGGUCAGAUCAGGGAAGUGGAUGC
rnacentral:lncRNA from 1 species